rnacentral:rRNA from 1 species
CAUAACCUCGGGAAACUGGGGAUAAUUCCGGAUAACGCAUAUUUGCUGGAAUGCUUUAUGCGUCAAAAGGAUUCGUCUGCCCAAGGAUGGGUCUGCGGCCUAUCAGGUAGUAGUGGGUGUAAUGUACCUACUAGCCAGCGACGGGUACGGGUUGUGAGAGCAAGAGCCCGGAGAUGGAUUCUGAGACAUGAAUCCAGGCCCUACGGGGCGCAGCAGGCGCGAAAACUUUACAAUGCGGGAAACCGUGAUAAGGGGACACCGAGUGCCAGCAUCAUAUGCUGGCUGUCCGGAUGUGUAAAAUACAUCCGUUAGCAAGGGCCGGGCAAGACCGGUGCCAGCCGCCGCGGUAACACCGGCGGCCCGAGUGGUGAUCGUGAUUAUUGGGUCUAAAGGGUCCGUAGCCGGUUUGGUCAGUCCUCCGGGAAAUCUGAUAGCUCAACUAUUAGGCUUUCGGGGGAUACUGCCAGACUUGGAACCGGGAGAGGUAAGAGGUACUACAGGGGUAGGAGUGAAAUCUUGUAAUCCCUGUGGGACCACCUGUGGCGAAGGCGUCUUACCAGAACGGGUUCGACGGUGAGGGACGAAAGCUGGGGGCACGAACCGGAUUAGAUACCCGGGUAGUCCCAGCCGUAAACGAUGCUCGCUAGGUGUCAGGCAUGGCGCGACCGUGUCUGGUGCCGCAGGGAAGCCGUGAAGCGAGCCACCUGGGAAGUACGGCCGCAAGGCUGAAACUUAAAGGAAUUGGCGGGGGAGCACAACAACGGGUGGAGCCUGCGGUUUAAUUGGGACUCAACGCCGGGACAACUCACCGGGGGCGACAGCAAUAUGUAGGCCAAGCUGAAGACUUUGCCUGAAUCGCUGAGAGGAGGUGCAU